rnacentral:misc_RNA from 1 species
GAUGAAGAACGUAGCGAAAUGCGAUACGCAGUGUGAAUUGCAGAAUUCAGUGAAUCAUCGAAUCUUUGAACGCACAUUGCGCCCUUUGGUAUUCCAAAGGGCAUGCCUGUUCGAGCGUCAUUUGUACCCUCAAGCUUUGCUUGGUGUUGGGCGUCUUGUCUCCAGUCCGCUGGAGACUCGCCUUAAAGUCAUUGGCAGCCGGCCUACUGGUUUCGGAGCGCAGCACAAGUCGCACUCUUUUCCAGCCAAGGUCAGUGUCCAACAAGCCUUUUUUCAACUUUUGACCUCGGAUCAGGUAGGGAUACCCGCUGAACUUAAGCAUAUCAAUAAGCGGAGGA